rnacentral:rRNA from 1 species
AUUGAACGCUGGCGGCAUGCCUUACACAUGCAAGUCGAACGGCAGCACGGGUGCUUGCACCUGGUGGCGAGUGGCGAACGGGUGAGUAAUACAUCGGAACGUACCUUAUCGUGGGGGAUAACGCUGCGAAAGCUGUGCUAAUACCGCAUACGCCCUGAGGGGGAAAGCGGGGGAUCGCACGACCUCGCGCGAUUAGAGCGGCCGAUGCCUGAUUAGCUUGUUGGUGGGGUAAAAGCCCACCAAGGCGACGAUCAGUAGCUGGUCUGAGAGGACGAUCAGCCACACUGGGACUGAGACACGGCCCAGACUCCUACGGGAGGCAGCUGCGGGGAAUUUUGGACAAUGGGGGCAACCCUGAUCCAGCAAUGCCGCGUGAGUGAAGAAGGCCUUCGGGUUGUAAAGCUCUUUUGUCAGGGAAGAAACACCGGCUCUAACACAGUCCGGGAAUGACGGUACCUGAAGAAUAAGCACCGGCUAACUACGUGCCAGCAGCCGCCGUAA